rnacentral:rRNA from 1 species
GAUGAACGCUGGCGGCGUGCCUAAUACAUGCAAGUCGAGCGAACGGACGAGAAGCUUGCUUCUCUGAUGUUAGCGGCGGACGGGUGAGUAACACGUGGAUAACCUACCUAUAAGACUGGGAUAACUUCGGGAAACCGGAGCUAAUACCGGAUAAUAUUUUGAACCGCAUGGUUCAAAAGUGAAAGACGGUCUUGCUGUCACUUAUAGAUGGAUCCGCGCUGCAUUAGCUAGUUGGUAAGGUAACGGCUUACCAAGGCAACGAUGCAUAGCCGACCUGAGAGGGUGCUGGGCCACACUGGAACUGAGACACGGUCCAGACUCCUAGGGGGGGCAGCAGGGGGGAAUCUUCCGAAAGGGGCGAAAGCCUGAGGGAGCAACGCCGCGUGAGUGAUGAAGGUCUUCGGAUCGUAAAACUCUGUUAUUGGGGAAAAACAAAUGUGUAAGUAACUGUGCACAUCUUGACGGUACCUAAUAAAAAAGCCACGGCUAACUACGU